GACUAUUUUCCUGUCCUACUAAGCAUUCAAAAUGUAAUGAGUACUUUUGGGUGUCAAUGAAAAUGUAUGGAGUAAAAAUUACAAUGUUUUCUUAAGAAAUGUAGUUAACUAAAAGUAAAAGAAGUCAAAAAUAUGAAUAGUAAAGUAUAGAUACCCCAAAAAACUACUUAAGUAUUACUUUAAAGUAUUUUUACUUAAGUACUUUACUUCCGCCUGAUGAUACACUACCUCCACAUUUCCUCUCCCUGCUUCCUGAUUUACAGAUCUGCUACUCUAUGGACCCAACCUCUUCCUGUAGUCUGUCAACAUCUGUUCCUCUCAGACCAAUUUCAUUCUCAUACUGGGCUAUAAAUAGAUGUGCAAAGGUUUUAAGAUAUGAUUCAUUUAAACAAGUAUACUUAAACAAGUAUGCAUGUGUAAAUGAACACCUUUCUUGAUUUAUAAGUAAAUUAUUCAUGUGCAAAGCUUCAACUAGAGACUAAUGAAACCCACAUGAUAAUUGCAACAUUUAAAUAAUAUUUUAAAUCGUUUAUUUUUUUUGCAGUUAGAAGUGGUUCCUGCCAGUUAGGCCUGGUUAGGCCCAACCAAAUCUCGAAAACCCAUGAACAAAAUCUUGCAUGAACAUAACUCUCAUAACCCCUGUCUCCCAACAGAGGUAACUGAUCUUAGGACAGAAUAGGCCCACCCAGAUCAGUCUUAUCUACACCUGCAAUUGGAGCACAUUACACACCUAUGACAGCUACAGGUAUGAAAGUGUAUAUGAAAAUUAUGCACCAUCACAGAAGGGUCAUAGGUGGGAGAUAUUGUUUCACCAUAAAAGGAGAGAGGAGAGACACAAAAUACAGUGUGUCACUCUCACACUCACUACUGUGGCAUUGCCUGAGUCAUUAUCUACAGCCAACAGCUCCUGUGUAUAUUUCUAAAAACAUUUUUGAAAGCAUGUGAAAACAGUCGACCCCGAAAGCAAAUCUCAUUUCCAUAUAUCCUGUUUCACUUCUCUCUCUGCAUUAUGCAUAAUAACAGGUGGCAGGUUUGGGACCUUCAAAGAACUCCUAACCAUGAUCCAAUGAAUGUGCUGCUGGUGCCUUUAUGUUCUCUCUUGACCUACAAUUAACAGAUGCAGGGGACAAGGAGAAUCAGACAAACACUUGGAAUACCCAGGAGAAGAAGCACCAGAUCUCAGUAAGCCUGAAGUUUGUGACCCUGACUGAAGUGGUUGAGCUGAGCUGUGAGUCCUCUGUCCUUGUAGAGGGUCAGCAGUGUUUGUUCUAGGUGGAUUCUAAACUCAAGGAGUUUGGUCGCUCAAAUGCCAUGCCAACCAA